UUGUGUCAUACUUGUCUCUAUCUAUCUACCUUGGGUAACAUGAUUCUUGUCUAUUUAUGACAGGGAAGGAGUUGCUUAAUAUGUGGGAAAAACAACUGUGCGUUACAAACACAUUUCUCAAUACAACAGUAACAGAAAAACAAAGACUAUUUCUUCUGGAACACAGUCCCUCGUUGCUAGAUUUGGUUUGCCUAUAGUAAUUCCUGGC